rnacentral:lncRNA from 1 species
AGUCCUACUUAGCGGUUCUGCAUGGCUUGCAAACAAAGUGGGUUUGGUAACAAAGAAGCCCACGGCACCACACGGAAAAGCAGAGAGCCUUUAAAUUUCCCAGAACGGGAGCCUCUCACCAGACUGAAGUAGCCACCAGGUGAGGCACCUGGAGUUCUCCAAGGUGGGUUUACCUCUGGGCAAGGACUAUUUCGUAUUCAAACUCGCACAAAGCUAAGCGCCUUUGCUUCUGAGAGCCGGCAUAAACCGCCGUGCCUCUGCAAGAGCAUCCAAAUACUGUGCUUCCUUCCGUCUGAGGGCCUAGCUGGGGAGGCUCUCCACCCUACAGAGUCAUGCAUGACAUCAUUUUUCCCAAGCAAAGGUGACAGAACUGGUCUAAGGGAACCACCCUAUCUAGGGAACAAUCAUUUCUACGAGGAUGUGACUUGCUCUGGGGUACACUUUUGAGAUACCAUGUCACUGGGCAGAUCUCCCUACCCUCUGAGUCUGGGCAGUCCCGUUUCCAUCCUCGUUCUAAUUUAACAAUACAGACUACACAGGGUCCAGGCUGGAUGUAGAAGUCUGUAGCUAAAACGGAGGAGGGCUCUUGAGGGGUCGGGGUGGGGUGGGGGAGCCCUUUCGACUUCACUUUCUGUUCUCUCUCUCUCUCUCUCUCUCUCUCUCUCUCUCUCUCUCUUUUAAUUUUAUCGGCUUUCAGCAUUUUCAAUUAAUCUUGGAAUGGUCGCUGGAGGCAAGAAGCCAGCGGCGCCUAAAGGAAUGAGAAAGUGCAAACUGAUCCAGAGGAAACAAAGGGCAGCGAGGGACCCCACAGCUGAGGCAGACGACACUGUGAGCGGCUCUGUCGGGAGGCUGGCGAGGCGUGCGCGCGCGGGUCUCUGCCUUAGCACCAUCUGCCGAUUCCUCAAGAGGACACAGAACAGACCAGCGAGCCAUGAAGAUUCGAUUAUGUAACGCGGGAGGAUUGCUUGUUUUCAAAAGGGAGACAAAUGGGAACGAAUUGAUUUGUUUGUCAAAGUCAUGGCCCCAAAGGAGACCAGUCCCCUCCUCUUCCUGGAGGAUUCAUCAAGGAAGGGGAGUGAUUUCACAGGCUCAGAAAAAAGGAGCCCAGGACUCACAGAGUCAGCUCAGAUGGUAACAGCAGCUCCUGGGCCGCAACGCGGUGAGCCACGUGGUAGAAGAAAAGAACCAACUUCAGCUAACAGUCCUCUGACCUCCAUAAGGGCACAUACCCACCCGCCGCGAAAUAAAUCCAUGCAAAACCA